AACGAACGCUGGCGGCAGGCCUAACACAUGCAAGUCGAGCGGACCCUUCGGGGUUAGCGGCGGACGGGUGAGUAACGCGUGGGAAUAUGCCCUUCUCUACGGAAUAGUCCUGGGAAACUGGGGGUAAUACCGUAUACGCCCUUUGGGGGAAAGAUUUAUCGGGGAAGGAUUAGCCCGCGUUGGAUUAGGUAGUUGGUGGGGUAAUGGCCUACCAAGCCGACGAUCCAUAGCUGGUUUGAGAGGAUGAUCAGCCACACUGGGACUGAGACACGGCCCAGACUCCUACGGGAGGCAGCAGUGGGGAAUCUUAGACAAUGGGGGCAACACUGAUCUAGCCAUGCCGCGUGAGUGAUGAAGGCCUUAGGGUUGUAAAGCUCUUUCAGCUGGGAAGAUAAUGACGGUACCAGCAGAAGAAGCCCCGGCUAACUCCGUG
rnacentral:rRNA from 1 species